GACGUAGGGGGCCAGCGUUGCUCGGAAUUACUGGGGGUAAAGGGUUCGUAGGCGGUGUGGCAAGUCGGGAGUGAAAUCUCUGGGCUCAACCCAGAGUCUGCUUCCGAAACUGCUGUGCUUGAGUGUGGGAGAGGCGCGUGGAAUUGCAGGUGUAGCGGUGAAAUGCGUAGAUAUCUGCAGGAACACCCGUGGCGAAAGCGGCGCGCUGGACCACUACUGACGCUGAGGAACGAAAGCUAGGGGAGCAAACGGG
rnacentral:rRNA from 1 species